UUCCAUCUGGAAGGAAUCUGGAGACAGGUGCUGCAUGGCUGUCGUCAGCUCGUGUCGUGAGAUGUUGGGUUAAGUCCCGCAACGAGCGCAACCCUUGCCUUUAGUUGCCAGCAGUUCGGCUGGGCACUCUAAAGGGACUGCCGGUGUUAAACCGGAGGAAGGUGGGGAUGACGUCAAGUCCUCAUGGCCUUUAUGACCAGGGCUACACACGUACUACAAUGGCCGAUACAAAGGGCAGCGACACUGCGAGGUGAAGCCAAUCCCGUAAAAUCGGUCUCAGUCCGGAUUGGAGUCUGCAACUCGACUCCAUGAAGUUGGAAUCGCUAGUAAUCGUGGAUCAGCAUGCCACGGUGAAUACGUUCCCGGGCCUU
rnacentral:rRNA from 1 species